AUGUCGCUGUUUUUCCUGGGGAUGCUUGGCGUAAUCCUCAGGUGACUGUUAAUACAACUAUCAUUGAUAGUGGUCGCUCUCACUCUCGUACUGAAGACGUGCCUGUUGGCCCUUCCCAAGUUAAUUAUGAGAGUGGUAAUGCAUUUGACAGUGAUCAUGAGGCUCUUUCUCCUGCUCGGGCUGCGCAUGCUUCUAGCUCAUUUGGUGAUCCGAUGCUUCAGUUCCUCACUACCCAGUUUGAGACGAUGCACACUCAUUUUGAUGCUUAGCUUGAGACUCAUUACACCACUAUGACUCAGCGUUUUGAUGCAUGUUUUGAGACUUUCAAGACGGAGAUUCGUAAUGAUCUUACCAAGUUUACUCGUUGUUUUGAUCUUCUGCCCACUUACUUGUUUCUUGUCUUUUCGGGAUUGUUCUGUGGUUUCAUUUGUACUUGUUUCCUUUUGGCAUUUCAUGACAAAAAGGGGGAGAAUCGUUGAUAAUGUACGUAACUAUGUUUAAUCUUUGAUGAUGUACAAUAGAUAAUCUAUAUUCUUUUUCAUACCAUAUAUGCUUCACCGGAAUUUUUUUGCUUUGAGUUCAUGCCUUUGCAAGUUUCAAGGAAAUAAUUAUCGAGUUGUUUUUGAGUCUUGAGUCCUUU
rnacentral:lncRNA from 1 species